ACUAAUCAUAUGCAUGCAUCAAUAUUCUGUUGUGCCUUAGUCGUUCAAACAUAGCAAAAAUGUUUCUGAGGCUGGUAACCGGUCAUUUGAGUUGAGGUGUACAAUAUAGCGAUUCAACAAUUCAUUAUAUUAUUCAGUGCUCCUCAAGCUUUGUGCAGAGCCAAAGAAGAAGAAUAUCCACAAAAGAAUAUUUCAAGGUCAUUGAAAAUCUCCACCAACUUCAAAACCCUCUCCCAUUUUCAGUUUCUGAUACAUGAAGAUCCUUUAGUAGAUAUAUAGCUUAUGAGCACCAAAUGAAUUAUUAUGCUGAAAAAUAAAUUCCUAUGGAGAGAAGGAUAUUAUUGAUUAGGGUGUCAGUCUGUAGUUAGAAGCCAGAGGAAGUUGAAGGGGACUCUGGAUGGAAUGAAGAACAAUGUUUGGAAAUGAAGAGCUAGAACCUGAAGCUCAACUUUUAGAAGAAUUAGUGGUAUUUUCGCUUGUUGAUGGAAAGGUCAACAAUUUUGAAGAUGGAGCAAGUAUCCAUAAAGAAAAGCUUUUGAAAACUGUGUCUAGGUCUUUAUCCAGAAAAUCCUUUUUGGGAGAAAAAUGAGAAACUUGCUAAUAAGCAUUAAAAUUAUCUCUAUUGAAUCCA